GACGAACCGUGCGAACGUUAUUCGGAAUCACUGGGCUUAAAGCGCGUGUAGGCGGCCCGGCACGUCCGUCGCUGAAAUCCCCCGGCUCAACCGGGGAAGGGGCGCGGAUACGACCGGGCUGGAGGGGGGUAGGGGAAUCGGGAACUUCCGGUGGAGCGGUGAAAUGCGUUGAGAUCGGAAGGAACGCCCGCGGCGAAAGCGCGGUUCUGGACCCCACCUGACGCUGAGACGCGAAAGCCAGGGGAGCGAACGGGG
rnacentral:rRNA from 1 species